CUCCCUCUGACAUCCUGGCCAAGGGUGCUGCUCCCUUCCCACUGCAUCCCCUGAUCGGAACUUUCUGAACAGUGAGUCACUACCAUGCCUGAAAUCUCUCCUUUAAAGCUUCUCUUCUUCUUGUGAUUUAAAAGCAGAGCGCAAGUCAGCAUCCAGAAAAUGAUCCACUGCUGUCUACUGGAUUUUGCUGUUCUUUGAGACCUCACUGGACCUUGGCUAGUUCAUUCUGUAGCUUGACUGUUGCCAGUUCCUUAGCUGGGUCUGGGCUAUACCCACAGCGGAUCACCUUGCUUGAAGAAGUUUUCAUGGAAAGACCAGCCAAUACGCACCAAAGACUUUAGGGUGAGUUUAGUCUUUUUCAAUGGCCCCAUGCACAUCUUCUGCAAUCUUCGUCACACAACAAGAGGUGACUGGUCUCUCAAGGACUGCAUGAUUCGUGGUAGUGUUUGUUUAAUUGAAUGUAGCUCCUCUUUUACUGCCUGAGAGGCCAGCUGAUCUUUUACAAAAGGGUAAACAUAUUCCUAAACAAAGGAAGUCAUUUUAAAAGAAGAAAAGAUCUGUCUGCAGGUAUGUGAGUACAGAGAAAAGAAAUGCGAAGGGCAGAGAAAAACAGUGGAAAUGGGGGGGUUAAAGGUUUAAAGUUAAAAAUCUGAAAAGAAAGGCCAUGUGGCAUCAGAGGCAGCAUAUCCAGAAGCAAGGAGACAUAACGGGAAGAAAUACAGGAAAGAGAGGUAGCACAUACGAAACAAGGCACAGGAAAGUUAUGAAAACAAGCCUGCAGUUUGCAGAAUGAUUGCGAGACUGCUGUGUCGUACAGCCGCCAGUAGAGGUGCUAAAGCCACAGCUAUAGAACUUAGUGGCAAAACGCUCAGGGGAAGAAAUAAAUCCUGAACUGAGAUAGAUGGAACGUUUCAAGAAAUGAACAGUGGUGCAAUGCAGCUAUUUGAGGGGAAUCAGCGCAGACGUGAAUUUUUAAACUUCUCUGUAGGUGAAAACAAAAAUGCAGCCAGCAAGAGGCAGAAGGGGUUCCCCACAAAAGAACAAAGGGAACAUCAGAAAAUUCCUAUGGAAACGCUGUAACCUGCAAACAAUGAGAGCAGGUACCAGUGUGCAGCUGGGGCACAAUAAAACCCUCUACAAGCUGAGCCAAGAAUAAGCUUCUUAAAAAGUGCUAUACUUUGCUACUUAGAAAUGUUGCUCUUGUCCAAGUGUUUUGUAUUUGCCUCAGUGCAGUUCUUUUUUUUUUCUUUUUCUUUUAACUAAUUAGAGGUUUGUUAUAAACCAAAGGGGAUUUCUGGG
rnacentral:lncRNA from 1 species